UACGUAGGGGGCAAGCGUUGUCCGGAUUUAUUGGGCGUAAAGAGCGUGUAGGCGGCCACACAGGUCUGCUGUGAAAACUCGAGGCUCAACCUCGAGUUGUCGGUGGAAACCGUGUGGCUAGAGUCCGGAAGAGGAGAGUGGAAUUCCCGGUGUAGCGGUGAAAUGCGCAGAUAUCGGGAAGAACACCCGUGGCGAAGGCGGCCGUCUGGGACGGUACUGACGCUGAGACGCGACAGCGUGGGGAGCGAACAGG
rnacentral:rRNA from 1 species